AAAAUACUGCAACUACAGUGCCUUCCCUGGUGCUGUGUGUGAGUUUGGCCUCAUGAUUCAAGAGCAGACGAGGCUUCUGCAUUCCAAGGUCUGCCAGGAACUCCCUGUAGUUGUGGAGAGAACAAGGUCUCCCCUGAGCCUCCUUUUACCUAGGCUGAACAGUCCCACCUGCCUCAGCUGCUCCCCAGUUGACUUGUGCUACGGACAUCUCACCAGCUUAGUGGCCCUUUUUUGGACAUGCUCGAGAACCUCCAUGUCCUGUUGUCAGUGAUGCAAAACUGAACACUGGAUUUGAGGUGCAGUCUCACCAGUGCUGAGUACAGGAGGACUCUGGUACUUUCUAGAGAUGUUUCCCAAGAACACUCCCCAUGAAGACAUACUGAAGAGGGGUGAUUCUCAGCAUUUGGCAUAUCAGUUGCACCAUGAAACCCCUUGGAGGUCCUUGCUUAUGCAGACACAUACUGACAAUUUCAGAAGAGCUGA